rnacentral:lncRNA from 1 species
AUGAUGAAGAAAAAGGUUCAAAUAGGUAUCCAAAGUUUCCUUACUUUAGCAAAGGAAAACCAUUAUCCUCUUGGCUUAUAUCGAAAUCCUCUGACAUUCUUCUUUACAAAUCCUCGUUUUGUGCUUCUAAUUAGUGACCGUUGUUUUGUUUUGAUCUCUCUGCUGCGUUUCAAAGCUGACCUCAUACGUCAUUCCCCCAGAACUGCUUCGUUUACAGCAGUGAGCGCAAGCUAGAUUCAAGUGAUUAUAACGUUUUGAAUAUGGAUACUUUUCUUACAAAAAUGCAUCGAUUCACUACAGAAGGCCUUUGUUCACCCCCGGAGUCAUGUGAGACACUUUUUUUAUGGAAGGCCGCUUUUUAUUUCACGUCUUUUGGACUGAAGCAGUGCAACACUUGCUGACCCCAAUGAUAGAGCUUGAAAGAUCAAAGACAAUUUUUAAUAUAACGCUGACUAGAUUCGUCUGAAAGAAGAAAGUCAUACACACCUAGGAUGCCUUGGGGGUGAGUAAAACGCAGCCUGAUUUAGAUUUUUGGGUGAACUAAACUUUUAAUAUUACAUCUAAAAUUUGACUAUAGGCUAGACAUGUUGCAUAUUAAUAGUACUGUAUAUGAACCUCAAAGUAUAUUUUAAUUUGUGUAUUUUGUGUUGCUCCAUAAUGAUGUUCUAGUUAAGGUGAAUUGUAGUGUAUAGGGCCCAAACAUAACCUCAAGCCCAGGGGUCCCGGCCCCUUAAGUCCUGCCCAGCCCUUAGGCCAAGAUGUAGAUGAGGCUUAAUCGGAAUAGAUUUGGAGUAAUUGAUCAUUACAUCACUUGCUCACCAAUGGAUCCUCUGCAGUGAAUGGGUACCGUCAGAAUAAGAGUCCAAACAGCUGAUAAAAACAUCACAAUAAUCCACAUGACUCCAUUCCAUCAAUUAACCUCUUGUGAAAUGAUAAGCUGCAUGUUUGUGAGAAAUCCAUCAUUAAGGUGUUUAACAUAAAACUGACGCAUCUGGACAAGAUACAGUAUCUGUUUGGUACUGUUUUGUCUAUCUAAUAGGUUCUUGUAGCUGUGCAUAUUUCUAUCCUGAUUCAGAUGAGACAAAAUUUUCACUGGAGAAAGCAAUAUUAUGGAUAGAGGACUCAUAUUUCAGCUGAAACAAUGGUUUGAAGUUAAAGGCAUUUUAAUGAUGGAACAUGCAUCUUUUAGCUACACAAUAUGUAAACUGAUGGACUGGAGUUGUGUGAAUUACUUGUAGAUUGUGAUGUUUUUAUCAGCAGUUUGGACUCUUAUUCUGACGGCACCCAUUCACUGCAGAUAAAUAAGCAAACUCAUCUACAUGCUGAAUGUUGAGGGUGAGUACAUUUUUAGAAAGUUUUCAUUUUGGGUUGAACUAUUCCUUUAAUGAGUGGAAUGAUACAGUUAUGGGUGAAGCAGUUGUUUGAUUUUUCAAACACUUUUCAGCCAUUUAGAACUUUUGGACAAAUUUGGUUGAUUGUAUUAAAAAAAAAAUACCAUACAUUUUUAAGAAUAUAAGCGCUGAAUUUAUAACUUAAAAAUAUGGGCUAGCGUAAACAUAUUCUUUUUGUUCUUAUAAAAAACUGUAAGAAAACUUUUACAGUGCGUUAUUUGUAACUGGAGAACUUGGACAGAAGACUUGCAAUGUAGCCAGCUAUCUGUUGAUCUUCGAAUAACCUUUAUCUGGCUGAUAUCAGGAAUGCUAAGACUUCUAAUUUAGCUUUACAAAGCCAUAUGGACCAGCAAAAGGAGUAUGAAGGUCAAAGUCAAUGUCAAACAGGGAUGGAUAGAUGGAUGGGGGCAUUAGAUUUGGGCAAACAAAGGGCUACUAUCAGACAGAGGAGAGAGAGGAGAAGUAAGUGAGGGAGGAGAAUGGAUGGAGAGAUGAUGGGAGGAUGGGCAGAGAGGUGCAAUCUGUGCUGCUGGCACUGCUGGUAUUUAAUGCUCCUUCUUUUCAUUCCUGCACAACAGAUGGCAAAUCAGCCGUGGGUUCCCAAAUGAUCUGACUGGCUGUGAGCAGGGCUGAGUCGUUUCAAUGCAUUUGACUAUAGGCUAGACAUGUUGCAUAUUAAUAGUACUGUAUAUGAACCUCAAAGUAUAUUUUAAUUUGUGUAUUUUGUGUUGCUCCAUAAUGAUGUUCUAGUUAAGGUGAAUUGUAGUGUAUAGGGCCCAAACAUAACCUCAAGCCCAGGGGUCCCGGCCCCUUAAGUCCUGCCCAGCCCUUAGGCCAAGAUGUAGAUGAGGCUUAAUCGGAAUAGAUUUGGAGUAAUUGAUCAUUACAUCACUUGCUCACCAAUGGAUCCUCUGCAGUGAAUGGGUACCGUCAGAAUAAGAGUCCAAACAGCUGAUAAAAACAUCACAAUAAUCCACAUGACUCCAUUCCAUCAAUUAACCUCUUGUGAAAUGAUAAGCUGCAUGUUUGUGAGAAAUCCAUCAUUAAGGUGUUUAACAUAAAACUGACGCAUCUGGACAAGAUACAAGCCCAUAAUCCAUAAUAACACUUCAUUCAGUGAAACGGUCCAUCUCCUGUUGACUUCUCACAUAUUUGUUUAGAUCUGUUUUGGACUGUUUUUGCAUCUAAAUGGUUCUUGAGCUGUGCAUAUUUCUAUCCUGAUUCAGAUGAGACAAAAUUUUCACUGGAGAAAGCAAUAUUAUGGAUAGAGGACUCAUAUUUCAGCUGAAACAAUGGUUUGAAGUUAAAGGCAUUUUAAUGAUGGAACAUGCAUCUUUUAGCUACACAAUAUGUAAACUGAUGGACUGGAGUUGUGUGAAUUACUUGUAGAUUGUGAUGUUUUUAUCAGCAGUUUGGACUCUUAUUCUGACGGCACCCAUUCACUGCAGAUAAAUAAGCAAACUCAUCUACAUGCUGAAUGUUGAGGGUGAGUACAUUUUUAGAAAGUUUUCAUUUUGGGUUGAACUAUUCCUUUAAUGAGUGGAAUGAUACAGUUAUGGGUGAAGCAGUUGUUUGAUUUUUCAAACACUUUUCAGCCAUUUAGAACUUUUGGACAAAUUUGGUUGAUUGUAUUUUUUUUAGGACCACAACCAAACAAAAUAAUACAGUAGACAGUAACUUAGUAACAGAAGUUCUUUGUUUUGGAUUUGCUAAAUCCAAAGUACCAGUCCAGUGUUUUUCACUUCAAAGGAUUCUUCAGCAUUCUUUUCUUUUUCUUUGACAUGUCCAGCACUUGUAAAUGUGUUUUUCUAUCAAAAUUACUCAUAACAGAAUUUGGAGUGACUUCAGUUCAGCUACUUCUCAUUACUAAACUGUUUUUCAUGUGUAGUUAAUUAUGAAUGACUUUUGUGUGUGGGAAUAGCAGUAGAAGGCCAUUAGAAAAUCCUGGCUAGAUUCAAGUGAGCAUUGAGAAACAGGCUCUGUGAAAAAUAAUUUCAGAUUUCAGAGUUCAGAUUGCUCAUAUUGAACAUAAACUGUGUACUAUUAUUUUUGUAUUUAAAACAGAAACAAUAUAGUUAAUCUACACUCUAGUAAUGUUACUGAAAAAUUGUUUAGUAAUUAAAAUUGCAGUAUUUUGUUUAUUUUUGUCAUUAUUAAUUGUUAACUAAUGCACUUCCUUAGUAACAAUCUAUAAACAAAUAUGCUAAUGUUGCUAAUUUAAUAAUCAAAUAGUAAUAAAUAGCAUAGAGUCUUCCGAGUUCCCAAAUUUAUUUUAAUACAAAUCCUUUAAGUAAUUCCCUAAAUAUCACGAAUUAAAAUUUAGUAGUUCCCUGAUUAUGUAUUUUGGAUGUGUGUGCAAUUGUCAGUAUAAGCCAGGUGUGCUUAUCAUUUUGACUAUGAUUUUCUGCUUUAGUAUACAAAUACUUUACUAUAGAUCUACUUGCUAUUAGGACUUUAUUCAAAAAAGAAUCAAAGUCUUGUUUCUUAGUGUACAAAACUGUUUGUACAAAGCUGUUUUUGGUGCUGAGGUUUUGCAGAGCAUAUUUAAGCUUGUUCAUAUUUAACACUGAAUGACUUCGAGUUAAUGGUGCUAUUUGUUAGAUUAUGAAAAAGAAAAAGAAACUUGAGACACGUUGCGAGAGAGACAAAGUGUGUUUAUGUGUAGUCAUUAUGUGAAUUUACCUGAAACUUAUUAUAGCAUUGCAUUAAGGAGCUUUCACCAUAACUCAUAUUCAGUUGUAAUCAAUUUUAUAUUGUAAACAGGAAUUGUAAUGAAUUAUUACAUAUAAAAGAGUGUCAAUGCCAAAUCAACUGAGAAAUCAGGAGUGUAUUCUUGACAACACUUCCUCUACAGAAAAUAUAAAAACUGUCAUCAUUGUAUCAUUGUAUCAUUUAUCGCAGAUCUAUUGCACUCAGUCAGGUGUAUAUUUCUUGUCUUUUUCUGAACUAAAUCACACUGUGUUUCAUAAUUGCAACUAAAAUAAAUCAGGAUUGCAUAUGUUUAGUAUAGAAGUUAAUGGUCUUUUUUUAUCUGCAGUGUUUAAUCGCUCAAGAACUGUAUAAUAGAAAAUCCUUUAAUUGUUUUUGUCAGAAUAAUAAUAAUAAAGAAAAAAAUAACUAUGUGUAUAUUUUGAAUAUUUCUUUAGAAAAUGUCUAUGUAUAUUAUAAGAUCCCAAUAACUUCUCAGUUCUCUUCUAUACAGAUUUUAAUUGGCCAAAUGACCAUUUUUACACCUUAAAAACACAAAAUAUUGUGUUUGGAUUUGUAGUAACAUUGUACUAAUUGAAUAAAUAAUCUUUUGGAUGAAAAUAAUAUAUAGUCAUGUUUAUUUAUUUAAAUUUGGACUGUAUACGUUAUUAUAUAUAAAUAUUAAGGAUGUAAUGGCAUAUAUUUGAAAAAUGCAGUGUUGUUUUAAUCACUGCAUAUGCGUAACUUCUCUGCUUAAUGUAAA